GUAGGGGGCAAGCGUUAUCCGGAUUUACUGGGUGUAAAGGGAGCGUAGACGGAUGGACAAGUCUGAUGUGAAAGGCUGGGGCUCAACCCCGGGACUGCAUUGGAAACUGCCCGUCUUGAGUGCCGGAGAGGUAAGCGGAAUUCCUAGUGUAGCGGUGAAAUGCGUAGAUAUUAGGAGGAACACCAGUGGCGAAGGCGGCUUACUGGACGGUAACUGACGUUGAGGCUCGAAAGCGUGGGGAGCAAACAGGAUUAGAUACCCUGGUAGUCCACACGGUAAACGAUGGAUACUCGCUGUUGGCGAUAUACUGUCAGCGGCCAAGCGAAAGCAUUAAGUAUCCCACCUGGGGAGU
rnacentral:rRNA from 1 species